AUGGGGUCAGCUGCUCUCCUGCUGUGGGUACUGCUGCUCUGGGUUCCAGGCACCACUGGGGACAUCGUGCUGACCCAAUCUCCAUCUUCCUUGGCUGUGUCACUAGGGCAAAGGGCCACCAUCUCCUGCAAGGCCAGCCAGAGUGUCAGUAAUAACUUUUUCACUUACAUGUACUGGUAUCAACAGAAACCAGGACAGCCCCCCAAACGCCUCAUCUAUGGAGCAUCCAACCUAGAUUCUGGGGUCCCUGCCAGGUUCAGCGGCAGUGGGUCUGAAACAGACUUCACCCUCACCAUCCAUCCUGUGGAGGCUGAUGAUGCUGCAACCUAUUACUGUCAGCAGGCUAUUGUGUUUCCUCCCACAGUGCUCCAGGGCUAA